AGUUCAGUCUUCCCAGGCCCACCACUUUCAUCGAGUGAGCAUUCGUCUUCUGGUUACGGGGCCAUAGCUCAGCUGGGAGAGCGCGUGCUUUGCAAGCAUGAGGUCGUCGGUUCGAUCCCGUCUGGCUCCACCAGAUGGUUUGAUCACCUGCGACUGACCGUCGUCCGCGAAACAUCACUUCGCAUUCACUAGUCUGGAUAGACAGUGAACUGCGUGUUUUCUGACAUCGUAAAGAGGAGAUCGAUCCGAGUUGGGUCGUGCAGCAGAUUGUUGCGCGGAUCCUUCAUUAUCUCCGGAUCAUUUUCGGCGCUCGCUUUCAGCCGUGAGGCUGAACGCGAGUUGUAAAAUGAUCCUUUUAGCGAAGCUUGACCGCCUCGCUAUCGGAACGAUCUUACGAAGCAAGCUGGUCUUUCUAGUCAAUGUCCGGCUGUGAGAAUAGCGCUCGUCGAGGGCGCGUGCCGCAAGGCGGUUCUUACAGGCAGCAUUCUGCCGAGUGUGUGGACAUUGAUAAUGAGAGCAAUCAAGUGCCUUAAGGGUGUUCGGUGGAUGCCUUGGCGCUGAGAGGCGAUGAAGGACGUGCUACGCUGCGAUAAGCCGUGGGGAGCUGCGAAGAAGCUUUGAUCCGCGGAUUUCCGAAGG
rnacentral:misc_RNA from 1 species